rnacentral:rRNA from 1 species
GAUGAACGCUGGCUACAGGCUUAACACAUGCAAGUCGAGGGGAAACGACGGGGAAGCUUGCUUCCCCGGGCGUCGACCGGCGCACGGGUGAGUAACGCGUAUCCAACCUGCCUCUGACUGAGGGAUAACUCGUCGAAAGUCGGCCUAAUACCUCAUGGCAUCGUCUGCGGGCAUCCAACGACGAUUAAAGAUUUAAUCGGUCAGAGAUGGGGAUGCGUCUGAUUAGCUUGUUGGCGGGGUAACGGCCCACCAAGGCGACGAUCAGUAGGGGUUCUGAGAGGAAGGUCCCCCACAUGGGAACUGAGACACGGUCCAAACGCCUACGGGAGGCAGCAGUGAGGAAUAUUGGUCAAUGGGCGAGAGACUGAACCAGCCAAGUAGCGUGCAGGAUGACGGCCCUAUGGGUUGUAAACUGCUUUUAUGCGGGGAUAAAGUGAGGGACGUGUCCUUCAUUGCAGGUACCGCAUGAAUAAGGACCGGCUAAUUCCGUG